rnacentral:lncRNA from 1 species
AGCUUUUCAAACUCAAUAUUUUUAAUUGUUCUUACUUGUUUGAGUCAAACUGUUUGUGACAUAAACACUUGGGACAUGUCAAUUACAAAACCUUGUAAGGAAAACUGAUCAACUUAGAAGUUUUGUCUAACUUUGAGUGCAAUAAAUAAAAAAUGUCAAGUUUGUGUGAAAUCUAAGUAUGUUGAGCAUUCUUAUAAAUCUGUUGAAAG